rnacentral:sRNA from 1 species
GUUGAUUGGGAAACUCAUCAAUUACAAUCGAAAUACCGAGACAAGCUUAGUCGGCCAAUGGCGGGCCCCAACCCCGAAAGGGGUGGCUUUGAUCAGCCCAGGCGGAUUACAACGGUUGGCGAGCGCUCAAAUCCUGUCUAUCGGAGUUUCAUCGCAUCCUUUGGUGUGGCCCUU